CAUUCCCAGUGGGUCAGAGGUUUACAUACACUCAAUUAGUAUUUGGUAGCAUUGCCUUUAAAUUGUUUAACUUGGGUCAAACGUUUCGGGUAGCCUUCCACAAGCUUCCCACAAUAAGUUGGCUCAUUCCUCAUGACAGAGUUGGGGUAACUGAGUCAGGUUUGUAGGCCUCCUUGCUCGCACACACUUUUUCAGUUCUGCCCACAAAUUUUCUAUGGGACUGAGGUCAGGGCUUUGAGAUGGCCACUCCAAUACCUUGACGUUGUUGUCCUUAAGCCAUUUUUACCACAACUUUGGAAGUAUGCUUGGGGUCAUUGUCCAUUUGGAAGACCCAUUUGCGACCAAGCUUUAACUUUCUGACUGAUGUCUUGAGAUGUUGCUUAAAUAUAUCCACAUAAUUUCCCUUCCUCAUGAUGCCAUCUAUUUUGUGAAGUGCAGCAGUCCCUCCUGCAGCAAAGCACCCCCACAACAUGAUGUUGCCACCCUCGUGCUUCACGGUUGGGAAGGUGUUCUUUGGCUUGCAAGCAUCCCCCUUUUUCCUCCUCCUUAUUUACAGUUUUUCUCAAUUGUUUACACACAAAUACUGGUACUAGAGACACAAUGAACACAACAUGUAACUCAUGCACCAACCCCCUGAACCAAUUCUGCUAAACUACAAGCACAAUUCCUGCUUUACACUCAAAUUGCAGUUCUAAAACACACUUUUUUCAAAACACUACACACAAUUCUUUGCAUUUGGCACAAUUUUCAUGCAGAAAAUCUCUUGUUUUCACAAUGAACACACUGCCAUUCAAAUACGCACACUGACUCAUCACAUGGGCAAACACCCGUCACACAGUUUUACAAUUAGCAAUCAGAGCUUUAGCAUAAAAGGGCAACAGGUGAGCUCUUCUGUUUUGGAGCAAUGGAUGCCAACAUUGGAAACAGAGGCAGAGCCAGAGGAGUGAGAGUAAGAGGAGGAGGACGGGGAGGACAAGGACGAGGACGAGGACGAGGAAGGCCAAGGACCGUAAUCUCUGAUGAGAUCCGAGCCACUUUGGUUGAUCAUGUGGUCAACCAUGGUCUAACAAUGAGGGAGGCUGGGCAAAGAGUACAGCCAAAUUUGAGCAGGUACACUGUAGCAUCCAUCAUCCGGACAUUCCGAAAUGAGAAUAGGUAAGAAAUCUACUCUCACUAGAAAAUUGCAGUACUGCAUAUCAAUACAGUACUCAAUGAGUACAGUAGUACAGUAUUGCCUGUGGACUGUUCUGUAGGACUGUAAAAAUAAAGUAUGUUUCAAGUAUUUGGGAAAUGUAUUCCUACUUUGUAUUUACAGUAUCUUACUAUUUGUUUGGCAGAACUGAAAGAUUACCAACACAAGGUGGUCAGGAACGUGUUCCUGUCCUGAACAGGAAACUGAAAUCAUGAACAUGGUCCUAGAAAAUAACACCAUAACAUUACGGCAAAUACAAAGAAAAAUAAUAGAAAACAAUGUGAUAUUUCAAAAUAUUGAUAGGGUAAGCUUAUCAACACUGGACCGUGUCUUGCGCAGAAAUAAUCUCAGGAUGAAGCAGGUCUACAGGGUGCCAUUUGAACGCAAUUCAGAAAGAGUCAAAGAAUUGCGAUAUAACUAUGUGCAAAGAGUCCUUGAGCUAGAGGUGGCUGCAGAGUAGCACCAGUUCAUCUUCAUUGAUGAGGUUGGAUUCAACCUCACAAAAAGACGAAAGAGGGGAAGGAAUAUCAUCGGCCAGCGUGCCAUUGUUCAAGUCCCUGGCCAGCGCGGAGGGAACAUCACAAUGUGUGCAGCGAUUACCCACCAUGGCCUCAUCCAUCACCAUGCUACCCUUGGCCCCUACAACACCGCCCAUCUGAUCACAUUCCUGGACACCCUACACAACACACUCAUUCCACCAGAUCAGGUAGAUGGCCCAGAGCAGCUCAGGUACGUUGUCAUUUGGGACAACGUAAGUUUCCACAGGGCUGCUCUGGUUCGUAACUGGUUCACUGCCCACCCACGCUUUUUAGUUGUUUAACUCCCUCCAUAUUCUCCAUUCCACAAUCCUAUUGAGGAAUUUUUUUCUGCCUGGAGUAGGAAAGUGUAUGACCGAAAUCCACAAACGCGUAUACCUCUUCUCCAAGCUAUGGAAGACGCAUGUGGAGAUAUAGCAGCUGAUGCUUUUCAUGGCUGGAAUCGCCAUGCGAGGCGAUAUUUCCCCCGCUGCUUGGCCAGGGAAAACAUUGCUUGUGAUGUGGAUGAGGUGCUGUGGCCAGACCGCAACAGAAGAAAGGAUGCAGCAUAGUUUUUUGAACUUUUUAAAUUUUUUCACUGUAACUGUAUACAUUCAAUUCUCCUGUUUUGUAGUCAUUAAGUCAUUAUGAUGAAUGGAGAAGAAGUGUUUUCCAUUCAUCAUAGUGUUUUACAUUGAGCACAUCAGUGUUGAACUGGUUCUUAUAAA
rnacentral:lncRNA from 1 species